rnacentral:rRNA from 1 species
UACAGAGGUCCCAAGCGUUGUUCGGAUUCAUUGGGCGUAAAGGGUGCGUAGGCGGCGCGGUAAGUCGGGUGUGAAAUCUUGGAGCUUAACUCCGAAACUGCAUUCGAUACUGCCGUGCUUGAGGACUGGAGAGGAGACUGGAAUUUACGGUGUAGCGGUGAAAUGCGUAGAUAUCGUAAGGAACGCCGGUGGCGAAAGCGACGUGCUGGACCUUUCCUGACGCUGAGGCGCGAAAGCCAGGGGAGCAAACGGG